rnacentral:rRNA from 1 species
GAUGAACGCUAGCGAUAGGCUUAACACAUGCAAGUCGAGGGGCAGCACAAGGUAGCUUGCUAUCUGGGUGGCGACCGGCGCACGGGUGCGUAACGCGUAUGCAACUUGCCCUAUACAGGAGGAUAACCCGUCGAAAGACGGACUAAUACUGCGUAUGCUCACAACUUGGCAUCAAGUGGUGAGGAAAGAAAUUCGGUAUAGGAUAGGCAUGCGUCCCAUUAGCUUGUUGGUGAGGUAACGGCUCACCAAGGCAACGAUGGGUAGGGGAACUGAGAGGUUUAUCCCCCACACUGGUACUGAGACACGGACCAGACUCCUACGGGAGGCAGCAGUGAGGAAUAUUGGUCAAUGGGCGCGAGCCUGAACCAGCCAAGUCGCGUGAAGGAUGACUGUCUUAUGGAUUGUAAACUUCUUUUAUACGGGAAUAACAAGAGUCACGUGUGACUCCCUGCAUGUACCGUAUGAAUAAGCAUCGGCUAACCCCGUG